GUUCCAAGGAAGACCAGGCUCCAGUUACUUCAAACUACAUUUCCCAUGAGGACAUGCGCUGAGGCCUUGGGCUUCCCGGGUGACCAUUAGCCAAUGGGAAAGGGGAACCUGAUUUGAGAUCAAUUCUUGGAGAACACAAAGAAGUGUGGUGGUAUGUUCCAGGAUUGAACCAGCUGCCCUUUGACCCUGCCAACAACAACGAACCCCUGCAAUUUGGUAGUGCCAGUGGCCCUCUGGUCCCAGAUGGCCUCAUUGAGAAUGGAGGGGAAUCAAGCAAGAAAAGAAAGAGAACAAAUACUCCUUCAGGUAAGCUAGGUGAUAAUGCACUGUCUUAAGUCAGUGCUGUUGAGCCAGUUUUUCCCCAUAGCCUGGUAGGUU
rnacentral:lncRNA from 1 species